rnacentral:rRNA from 1 species
UUGAACGCUGGCGGCAUGCCUUACACAUGCAAGUCGAACGGUAGAGGGGCAACCCUUGAGAGUGGCGAACGGGUGAGUAAUAUAUCGGAACGUGCCCAGUCGUGGGGGAUAACGCAGCGAAAGCUGCGCUAAUACCGCAUACGAUCUAUGGAUGAAAGCGGGGGAUCGCAAGACCUCGCGCGAUUGGAGCGGCCGAUAUCAGAUUAGGUAGUUGGUGGGUAAAAGCCCCACCAAGCCGACGAUCUGUAGCUG